AGAAGAGAGUGAACUCUGUUCACGAGUAAAGAGGAAAAACAAAGAAAUCAGCUUAUGUAACCUACAAACUGCUGGAGAAAGGAGGAGGAGGGACUACAAGCUCCCACACCAUGUGAUCCCUGGCUGGCACACUUUCAUCUCAGCAGGAGAAAAACUGGGAUUUAAAUCCAGCCCUGUCAAUUUGGAUAAUGUGAAUCAGAAUAUAGCAGCCAGCUUGCCAUUUGCUCCAGCUGAGGUCAUCUUCAACCUCUGCAUUGGUCCAAACCACAUCACCAGCCACUUGUGGUCCGCACAUUCAAGGCUGUGCAGGAGCUCAGCGCUGCAGAACUGCUUUGAAGGACAAGUACCAAGGGUUACAGGGAACACACUUGCAAAACAAUCCAUGAAUAUCUGUUUUUCACCCAGGGGACAGCCCUCUGGAACAGGACAGCUAAUUAUUUCCUUUCUAUUACAGAUGUUGAAUGGCAGGGGGUACUGCCAAAAAAGGGAAAAAAACCCCCAAGUACUCCUCCAGUUAUUUCAGCACUUCGGUCUGUUUUGUUCUUGAGAUGAGCAGAUACAAGCUCCCUGUAUAUGCAUUUGAAAUCUAAAUGGAACCCAUUUUUACCACUUUG